GGUUUUAUGGGGUAGUGGUUAGCCCCUGGGAUUUUGACACCAAUCUUCCCAAGACCCCGGUUCGAAUCCGGGUAAAACCU